UACGUAGGUGGCAAGCGUUGUCCGGAAUUACUGGGCGUAAAGAGCGCGCAGGCGGCUGGUCAAGUCCGAUGUGAAAGCUCCCGGCUUAACUGGGAAAUUGCAUCGGAAACUGAUCGGCUUGAAGGUGGGAGAGGGUAGUGGAAUUCCCGGUGUAGUGGUGAAAUGCGUAGAUAUCGGGAGGAACACCAGUGGCGAAGGCGACUUUCUGGGCUGUAACUGACGCUGAGGCGCGAAAGCGUGGGGAGCAAACAGG
rnacentral:rRNA from 1 species